UUCAGCAUGAUCUCUGUCUCGCAUCGAUGAAGACGCAGCGAUCGCGAUAAGUAAUGUGAAUUGCAGAUUUUCAGUGAAUCAUCGAAUCUUUGAACGCACCUUGCGCCCCUUGGUAUUCCGAGGGGCAUGCCUGUUUGAGUGUCAUU
rnacentral:rRNA from 1 species